rnacentral:rRNA from 1 species
CGCAUCUGUGCAUGCAGCAUAUCAAUAAGCGGAGGAAAAGAAACUAACAAGGAUUCCCUUAGUAACGGCGAGUGAAGCGGGAAGAGCUCAAAUUUGAAAUCUUCAAGGUUUUACCUUGACGAAUUGUAGUUUAAAGAAGUGCUUUCUGUUGAAGUUUUGGUAAAAGUUCUUUGGAAUAGGACAUUCAUAGAGGGUGAGAAUCCCGUAUUUGACCAUUAUUUUCAGCUGUGUGAUACACUUUCAAAGAGUCGGAUUGUUUGGGAAUGCAGUCCAAAAUGGGUGGUAAAUUUCAUCUAAAGCUAAAUAUUGGCGAGAGACCGAUAGCGAACAAGUACCGUGAGGGAAAGAUGAAAAGAACUUUGAAAAGAGAGUUAAACAGUACGUGAAAUUGUCAAAGGGAAGCGUUUGACACCAGUGUUGUUUUCUCGAAAAUCAAUUAAAAAGAGUUUGAUUUUGUUGUGUAUUGACCUUAACAGCUUGCAUUUCAAUUUUCUUGCUUUUUUUAAUGCACUUUUCGUUUAACAAGUCAACAUCAGUUUCUUUUGUUGUAAAAAGGUCAUUGGAAGGUGGCUUUCUUUUCGGAGAAAGUGUUUAUAGCCUUUGACUCCUGCAAUCGGAGAGACUGGGGUCUGCAGCGUAGAUCCUUCGGGGUUAGAUACAUUUGUGCUAAGUUAUAGCUUUUUAUAGACAACUUGUUGACUAUGAUUAGUCUUGUAGCUUACUCGCUUAUGCUAUUUUACCUACGCUUAGGAUGUUGAACUCUAUCACACACAG